rnacentral:lncRNA from 1 species
CAGCGUGAAGUUUUCUACACCAGAAUGGUAGAAUGACCAACGAAGAACCCCUUUCAUUCUCUGGCGUACACGGAAAAGGUGCGAAUUAAAAGCGAGGGUCGACCGCUGCCUGAGAUCAGUUUCAUGAAGAAAGAUGAAAAGGUGAGCUCGUUCAAUAUCACCUGGUAUCAAAAGUAUAGCUGGUUAACAGGGAGCCUGUAUUAAUGGUCUUGCCUGCGUUUUUGGGCAUGCAAUAAUUUGCUUUUAGAGGACACGACGAGAUGGAAAGUUCCGCCGACAAGGAGUUUUGCCGAGAGGUGAUGACUACUCCACCCUACUACCUUUGUCAAAUUUCUCCUGACAUGAACUGAAGCCACGUCUCAUGUGCCCGCACAUCCACUGGCACAUUGAAUGUUUCCCCUCCAAGUACUUCAAAUCCUGUCCUGCGCUGGUCAAGCCUUUGAACACCUCAACUCAGGCCCUCAUUCAAUCACUGCUGUGAUCCCUUUCCAACAGUGUAAGUAGCCCUCGCAUUCCUAUUCCCCAUAAUAUGGUACUAUAAAUGUCUUUAUUAAAUGCUUUAGGUUAAAAUAAUUAGUCUUUGAUGAUUUUUGAAACACACUUUGUCGUCUCCGUGCGUUACGCUCCUAUACUGUGGGUCACCCAUCCUCCUCAAUGUUUCAAGUCACCAGCCUCCACUGAUGUCAAUACAUUUGUUUCCUAAACAGUACAUGGUCCUGUGGUGUUAAUAGAAUUGAUGGUAGAUGAUAAGGGUGUAGUGGCAUUUUGGGUAUGGGAUGAAAGGAAAGUGUUCAAGGGGGUAGAGCUAUGAGCUAAGGUUCUAAGGCCCAGCUCACCCUGUAGGUAAUUUAGUCUCCAUUUGUCCAGAACAGAAUCUGCAUAGGUCAGGAUGGGGGGCAGGCCGAGUCUCUAGGAGACCAGCCAGUAGGGCAGAGCCAGCAAUUUGGGGAGAGUUUAAUCAAC